UAUCAUGGAGUUGGUAAAGCAC
rnacentral:miRNA from 1 species